AAGUAUAUGCAUAUGUUUAUAUGCAGAGACUGCGAACGGCUCAUUAAAACAGUUAUAAUCUACUUGACAUUUUUUCUAUAAGGAUAACUACGGAAAAGCUGUAGCUAAUACUUGCUUUAAUGCUCCCGAUUACGUCUUUGAGCAUGUACUUGUUAAGCCUUUUAAGAAAAAAGUUAUUAACUUAAGGAAUUAUAACAAAGAAGCAACACGUAAAUGGAUUUUCCAUUUUUUAGUGUGUAUCAAUCGAGUUUCUGACCUAUCAGCUUUUGAUGUUAGGGUAUUGGCCUAACAUGGCUAUGACGGGUAACGGGGAAUUAGAGUUCGAUUCCGGAGAGGGAGCCUGAGAAAUAGCUACCACAUCUAAGGAAGGCAGCAGGCGCGUAAAUUACCCAAUUCUAAAGAAGAGAGGUAGUGACAAGAAAUAACAAUACAAGGCCAAUCUGGCUUUGUAAUUGGAAUGAUGGGAAUUUAAAACCUUCCCAAAACUCAAUUGGAGGGCAAGUCUGGUGCCAGCAGCCGCGGUAAUUCCAGCUCCAAUAGCGUAUAUUAAAAUUGUUGCAGUUAAAACGCUCGUAGUUGAAUUUCAAAGAAUCGAUAUUUUAAGUAGCACUUUGUAGAUUAAUCCACAUAACUGAUACUACGUAUCGACUUUGUGCGCAUUUUUCUACUUAUGUGUUCUUUUAAUUAAAAUGAUUCUUUUUAAGAUCUUUCUUUUUUGCUUCGGCAUUUUAGGAGAUCUUGUUACUUUGAGUAAAUUAGAGUGUUCAAAGCAAACAGAUUAUAGCAUCUUUAUGCGUUUGAAUACUACAGCAUGGAAUAACAAAAUUGAACAAGUCAGAAUUUUGUUCUUUUUUCUUAUUUUGGCUUAGUUACGAUUAAUAGGAGUAGCUUGGGGGCAUUUGUAUUCAGAUGUCAGAGGUGAAAUUCUUAGAUUUUCUGGAGACAAACAACUGCGAAAGCAUUUGCCUAAAAUACUUCCAUUAAUCAAGAACGAAAGUUAAGGGAGUGAAGACGAUCAGAUACCGUCGUAAUCUUAACCAUAAACUAUGCCGACUAGGCUUUGGAUGAAAGAUUUUAAAAUAAGAGUUUUUUCUCUGAGGAGUUAAAACUCUUAGAUUGCUUCCUUCAGUGCCUUAUGAGAAAUCAAAGUCUUUGGGUUCUGGGGCGAGUAUUCGCGCAAGCGAGAAAGUUAAAAGAAUUGACGGAAGGGCACCACCAGGCGUGGAGCUUGCGGCUUAAUUUGACUCAACACGGGAAAACUCACUAGUUUAAGACAAGAGUAGGAUUGACAGAUUAAUAGCUCUUUCUUGAUUUCUUGGAUGGUGAUGCAUGGCCGUUUUUAGUUCGUGAAUAUGAUUUGUCUGGUUAAUUCCGAUAACGAACGAGAUCUUAACCUGCUAAUUAGCGGCAAAUACGAUAUAUUCUUAUGUGGAAUUGAAUAUAGUUGAUUUGCUUAUUCUGAAGAAAAUAUUGGGAUACGUAAAUGUAUCCCUUUCCCUUUUCUACUUAAUUUGCUUAUCAUACUAUUUCUUUUUUGCGUAAGAAUGUAUUUGCUUGAUUGUAAAGCUUCUUAGAGGAACGAUGUGUGUCUAACACAAG
rnacentral:rRNA from 1 species